rnacentral:rRNA from 1 species
UACACUCCUGCGGGAGGCAGCAGUGGGGAAUUUUGGACAAUGGGCGAAAGCCUGAUCCAGCAAUGCCGCGUGUGUGAAGAAGGCCUUCGGGUUGUAAAGCACUUUUGUCCGGAAAGAAAUCCUUGGCUCUAAUACAGUCGGGGGAUGACGGUACCGGAAGAAUAAGCACCGGCUAACUACGUGCCAGCAGCCGCGGUAAUACGUAGGGUGCGAGCGUUAAUCGGAAUUACUGGGCGUAAAGCGUGCGCAGGCGGUUUGCUAAGACCGAUGUGAAAUCCCCGGGCUCAACCUGGGAACUGCAUUGGUGACUGGCAGGCUAGAGUAUGGCAGAGGGGGGUAGAAUUCCACGUGUAGCAGUGAAAUGCGUAGAGAUGGGGAGGAAUACCGAUGGCGAAGGCAGCCCCCUGGGCCAAUACUGACGCUCAUGCACGAAAGCGUGGGGAGCAAACAGGAUUAGAAACCCCUGUAGUCCCAUGA